ensembl:lincRNA
CGCAAGUAUGAAUUUUCACCCCUGUUUUGCAGAUGAAGCCAGUGAGGCCCAGUGAAGUACAUGCACUUGCCCAAGGACACAGCCUCGACAUGGUGCAGCCAGGACGUGAACUCUGUCUUAGGAGGAAAGCUGGUUUUGCUUUCGUUUUUGUUUUUUGCUUUGCAUUUUUGGCAGCUCUGAAGCGGGUCCACCUUCCAUUUCUCCACAGCAGCGUCACGGCUUCUGACAACUGUGCUGGCCGGGACCUCCGUACAGUGUGGAAAAGCAGCGGCGAUUUGGCUCCGUGCCCUCGUCUGAUGCCAGUGACCCUCGGGUUGGUUUGCUGUACACGGUGGUUAGUUGCACUGCAGUCGAUGAAGGACGUUGCCAGUUUGCCAGGAGCUUAUUUUUGUAUAUUAAACCGUUAAAGGGUGAGGUCAAACCCGUGGGCCUUCUCUCCUCCACGCCUUUGUCUGCCGCCUGCCUCCCCAGUCCCCUGCCCGCGAGCUUGUGCCUGCACGGCUUGGGGGCAGCGGGACCGCUCCACCCCGCAGGCUGCACUCAGCCACCGCUCCGUAAUCGGAUUUGCUCCACAGCCUGCGACUCGUUUUUUAUUUUACUGGAAUUUUAAAUUGCUUUGUUGCCUCCUAUCUUACUAGUGUCAGUGGAAGCAGGGGCACCUGCAGGAAUGCUGGCAGGGCUGCUGGAAAGCCUGGGCAGUGGCUCUAGUCCUUUGGGCUCGGGAGGUGCCCGUUGGGUGGGGUAGGGGGAAAGAGCCGCCCCUUGGUCUUCCUGGGCUGGCAAAAACAGUCCGAGCCCACAAGACUUGUCCUCAGGGAAGGUGAGAUCCUCAUGUCCCCUUGUGGGUAUGGGGGUGGUGGGGACAGGUAAAGCGAGCCAGCUGCCAGGCCUGGGGGGUGGGGAGGCUCUCUCCUUCAGUGACAGCAGGGGAAACUGAGGCCCAGAGAGGGGUGGCCACUCACCUACCAAGACCAUGCACACACCCCACCAGGACUUGCUCCCCAGGCCUGUCUGGGUCCCAGAGCCUGUGCCGUCAGAGGCUCAUGGGUGCGUGGCAGGGCGGGUGCCACCCCUUCACUUAUGGAGGAGCAGCCCGAGUCGCUUACCCAAGGUCCUGGAGAGCUCAGCUGAGGGCUGGGCCUCGUGUCCUACGGUGGCUGCCUCGGCCCCGUGGGUCACGGACAAGGCAGGCCUACUGUGUCCCCAGCCAGGCCUCCACAGCUCCUUCCUCUCUGGCUUCUGUGUGGCCUGAGUUGGUUUUUUUUUUUUUUUUUUUUUUAGCAGCACGUGACUCAGUUUGUGGAUCGACCCCAUGAUGAAAAAGUCAAAUAUUUUUUAGCAGGGAAGGUCCUGGGUAGCUGAGAUAAACAGGCUUCUGUCUCAGGGGGUCGGCAGGUCCUGCUUGGGGACACAGAGACUGUGGCCAGGUGAGAGUCACCUAAGAUUGUAGGCUGAGAACGGGGGUGGAACUUCCCUCCCCCAGUCUUUCCUGCCUUAUUCUCGGGUCCGCUGGAACAGGUCACAACAGCCAGGCGCUUCCACCCAGCCUGACCUUGGAGUCGCUGAGAGGGUGCGCUGUGGCGUUUCUGACAGCCAGCCCCGUGCAGUCAGGCUACGCUGACCUCCAUUUACGGGGGAGGGUGCUGAGGUCAGGAAAAGGAGGGAGGGGUCUCACACCGGGAUACCCUCCCCUGCCGCUUCUGACAUUAUCAUCACAGGCAGGCAGAGUGGGGUGGCUUCUUCGUCCAUCUGCUCUGACCCCUCCCCAACAGAAGGGGCAACGCAGGUCCGGAAGGCUGCGUGAUUUGCCCAAGGUCGCGCUGUACAUGGCCCGGGGAAGACCUCUCUUCCUUGGUGGGAAAUGCGUGGCAGAGCCCCAGGUCAGGUCACGAGGCUCAGCGCCAGCCCUUCCCGUCUUGAUUCUGCCAGGGGCAAGACGAGAGCCAGGAGCCGCCUCGCCAAGUACUCGGGCGUUUACAGGCACAGGGUGCCCAAUUCAAUUUGCUUAUCUCCCCUUCCUGCUUCCCUCCUUCCUGUGCUCUUCAAUUACAAGCAGAGUCAGUGUCUUCUCUAAUAAGUGCAGAGAUGACAAAGGAUAGGAGCGGGCAGGGGAGGCAGGAUGUCCUUGGUGGCUGUCCACGCUCUCAGGGCAGACAUCCUAGUUCUGAAGGCCUCGCAGCAGGAAGGAAGGUCCCAGAUCACUGGGCCCGGCCAGCUGGUAGCAGAGCGCCAGGCGGCGAGCCCUGAGAGCUGGACAACAGGCACCCAAGGCUAAAACGCAUGGACCUUUAGAGUCACCCGGGAGGACUGUUCUAACACAGAUCCACGUAGGUAGGAGAAUGUCCAUUACAGCGUUGUUUAGAGAGUGAUAUAUCAGAAACGACCUCAAGGUCCUCGGUGAAGGGAUCACUCAAGUGACUGGGCUCCUGUCUACCAUAUGGGAGGUCCAGGGUUCAAUUCCCAGGGCCUCCUGGUGGAGGCGAGCUGGCCGGCACAGCAAAAAAGAGACAGAGCAAACAAGAGAGCCGAGGUGGUGCAAGAGAUGGAGCACCUCUCUCCCACUCUGGAAGGUCCCAGGACCAGUUCCUGGUGCUGCCUAAAGAGAAGACAAGCAGACACAGAAGCAGCACAGAGAAUGUACAAAGAGAGCAGACAAUGGGGGGGGCGACGAUGGAGAGAAAUAAAGCUUUUUUAAAAAAGUGGUAAGAUGCCAAGGUGAAUGUUAUGAGUGAAUGUUUAUGUAAAAGGUAAAUAGUGCCCCACACGCGUGUGGGUAUUUUCCAGGGGGGUAUUUAAGCGCUACCAGUGAUUUCCUUUGGGAAGGAGGAUAAUUUUUCACUGCACACUCUUCAAGCCUUCUGAAUUGUAUGCCAUGGACAAUCUAUUCAGUAAAGUACUUAAUUUUUAAGAAUGAGAUGUUCUCUCUGGAAAAGGAACAAAAGUGAGCUGUACAUGAAAAACAUUUUUUCUCGACACUGAAGGCCCUCCCAAAUCACCUGUCAUUGUUGUUUUCAAUGGGGCAGAUAGUUCUUUCUCUAAGCCCCUGUCUCUGAAAGAAAACCAGCAGAGGCCCUUCGGGUUUGAGGAUGCUGGUAGAACAUCUUAGGUUCCCCGCCUCUUCUGGGAACAAACUCAUGUUCCAUUUUUGGUUAACUAGGAGAUAACUAACCCCCGAAACAAAGAAAGGCUGCUGGGGGCAGCACAGAGAAGGUGCCACAUGGAGCCUAGAGUAAAACUGGGGGUGCCUAGGCCAGUGGCGGGCAUUUCCCUAGAUCCCACCUGGUUUUGCUAAAUAAAUUGCACAGCCACGUUAUAUUUGCAGGAACCUAUUUGUCUCUGAGGCAACUGGAAAGAAAGAAAAGGACACGUGUGCAUGUACAAACCUCUGGGUCAAAAGGGAAAUGCCAGUUAGCUCAGACAUGGGCCUUUGCUCAACUUGAACCUCCUGCAAAUAGAUGGGCUGGGGAAAAAACUCACCUUCUUCAAAGGUAAGUAAUCAAAACCGAACCAACCUAGGACCUAAUAAAAAUAUAUAUGAGGAAAAAUGAAGGAAGCAACAAAGCAUGUCCUUCAGUAGGUGGAGGGAUAAACAAACUGUGCACCAUACAUACAAUGGAAUAUUAUCCAGAAGUAAAAAGAAAUGAGCUAUCAAGUCAUGAAAAGGCACAGAGGAACCUUAGAUGCAUAUGACAAAGGAAAAGAAGUCAGUCUGAAAAAAGCUACAUACUGUAUGAUUCCAGCUAUACGACAUUCUGGAAAAGGCAAAGAGAUGAUAUAAAAAUCAGAGGUUGCUGGGUGGGAGGGAGGGUGGUGAGUAGGUGGGGUUAGAGCCAGUGCUUGCUGGGCUGGAGUCCCCAAAGAAGGAAACUGAACUAAUACAAGGCUUGAAUUCAUAUGUCAAAAGGGCACAGUACCUGUUUCAGAGAACACAUUUUGAAUGGUCAACCCCAAGACACAUCCUAGUGAAGUAACUGGAAAUCAAAGAUACGGAAAGACUGAAGUGUCUAAGGGUGGAAAAUGUGGGCUGGCUUCAUCUGCCCAUGGCAGUGAGUAGAGCAAGGCCUCCAAAACUCUCAAGGGGACAAAGUGGCCCAGGAAUUUCUUUCGCCCAUUCAGAUAGAAAGGCACUAGACAGACUAUUCUGAAGGUGCAGGAACUCCUGGAGUACUGUGCCCACGACACCUUCUCGACUAAUAUACCAGAGGGCAAACUUGGAUGCCUGGCAACCUGGCAAAUGGCAAAAGGACUGGUGGUGAGCACUGACCCCUUUUACUAAAUGGGGCAGUGGGGUGAGGAGAACAAAAUACACACUACAAGAAAUAAAAGUGAAAUAAAAGAAGUAAAAAAUUAUUUCAUUUGACCUCUUGCAAAUAAACUUGAAAACCUGGAUAAAAUGGGUACUUUUCUAGAGACACAUUAUUUACAAACUCAUUCAAGAAGAAAUAGGGCAAUCAAAACAGACCAGUAAUUACAGGGGAAAAAUCCAGAAUAUUAUCAAAGAGCUACCCAAUCUACCCUUCAAAUAAAACACUAGCCUAGAUGAUUUCACGGGGGAAUCAACCAACCUUUAAAGAACAGAUAACUCCAUUUCUAUUUAAAUUGUUCCAUAGUACUUUGAAGAGAGGGUUAAAAUAAAAGAGGCAAAAAUCCUACACAGAAUAU